rnacentral:hammerhead_ribozyme from 1 species
AUCCAAACGACGGAUUCCAAAUAGGACGGAAUGCGCGUCCUGGAU